rnacentral:lncRNA from 1 species
AGCAGCGGCAGCAGCGCUCACUCGUACGAGGUGUGUGCUCCUUCCGCUCCGGCGGAUGACGGCGACGAGGAAGCCUCGGCGAUGGGGCUGGACCUCCAUCUCAGUCUAGCUCCGGCGAGCUCGGCGUGAUCUGAUCGACUCGGUAGCAAGUCCGGCGCCUCGCCGACGACGACGAAUUAACAUGUAUUGUUCUCGUGUGUAUCCCUUCAUUAAUUUUCUUCCCAUUUUUUUAGGGCAAACCCUGUUAUAUUUUCGUUAAUUGUUCGCAGCACAUCUCGCAACAAACGCAAGGUUGAGAGAUAAAUAUAUACGAUCGAGCUUGGCCAAUCAUCAAGCUAAAUACUCUUAUAUUUGUAUACUUAUACAGUUGCCUCCACUGCGUUUGGUGUAACUAUAGUUAAUUCCCUCUUUUCUUACAAAGCCAUGGCAUCUUAAUACAUAGAACUGCUAACAUAAACUUUGGAUAGAUUUCUUCAAGAUUCCCA